rnacentral:rRNA from 1 species
CCUACGGGAGGCAGCAGUGAGGAAUAUUGGUCAAUGGACGAGAGUCUGAACCAGCCAAGUAGCGUGAAGGAUGACUGCCCUAUGGGUUGUAAACUUCUUUUAUAAAGGAAUAAAACGAUGCACGUGUGGCUUUUUGCAUGUACUUUAUGAAUAAGGAUCGGCUAACUACGUGCCAGCAGCCGCGGUAAUACGGAGGAAGCGAGCGUUGUCCGGAAUUACUGGGUGUAAAGGGAGCGUAGGCGGGAGUGCAAGUUGGGUGUCAAAUCUUCCGGCUCAACCGUAAGUCGCACUUAAAACUGGAGUUCUUGAGUGAAGUAGAGGCAGGCGGAAUUCGUGGUGUAGCGGUGAAAUGCGUAGAUAUUAGGAGGAACACCAGUGGCGAAGGCAGCCCGCUGGGCUGUUACUGACGCUGAGGCUCGAAAGUGUGGGGAGCAAACAGGAUUAGAUACCCCAGUAGUC